rnacentral:rRNA from 1 species
CGUGUCGUGAGAUGUUCGGUUAAGUCCGCUAACGAGCGCAACCUCGUCGUAUGUUAUAUGUGUCAUACGAGACUGCCGGUAAAAGCCGGAGGAAGGUGAGGAUGAUGUCAAGUCAGCAUGACCUUUAUAUCCAGGGCUACACACGACGCUACAAUGGUCUGUACAAUGGGUAGCCAAGCCGCGAGGCGGAGCCAAUCCUGAAAGCAGGCCUCAGUUCAGAUUGCAGUCUGCAACUCGACUGCAUGAAGCCGGAGUUGCUAGUAACCGCAGGUCAGCAAUACUGCGGUGAAUACGGUUCCCGGGUCUU